rnacentral:rRNA from 1 species
GUGGGGAAUAUUGGACAAUGGGCGCAAGCCUGAUCCAGCCAUGCCGCGUGAGUGAUGAAGGCCUUAGGGUUGUAAAGCUCUUUUGCACGCGACGAUAAUGACGGUAGCGUGAGAAGAAGCCCCGGCUAACUUCGUGCCAGCAGCCGCGGUAAUACGAAGGGGGCUAGCGUUGUUCGGAUUUACUGGGCGUAAAGGGCGCGUAGGCGGAUUGAUAAGUCAGGGGUGAAAUCCCAAGGCUCAACCUUGGCACUGCCUUUGAUACUGUUGAUCUUGAGUCCGGGAGAGGUGAGUGGAACUGCGAGUGUAGAGGUGAAAUUCGUAGAUAUUCGCAAGAACACCAGUGGCGAAGGCGGCUCACUGGCCCGGAACUGACGCUGAGGCGCGAAAGCGUGGGGAGCAAACAGG